CUCCGCGCCACCGGAGUUAAUCUAUAUAUAAAAAUGGAGGCCCAAAGACUCUUACCGAUGAUUGAUGAACCCGUUGGUGGAUUUGCUUUGUUAUGCAACAAAGGUGAAUUUGAGCCUUUGAAUCCCAAUUUGUUUGCCUCAUUUAUUGAUGGUUGUUUGUGUUGCUGGGGUAAGCGUACAGCAAGUGAAGUUACCAAUGUAACUGGAGAGUAUCCAUUCCCAUCUUGAGAGAAUGGAAUACAGCAGCUGAGGCUUAGCGAGAGCACUAACUGAAACUUUGAAGAGCUAAGAUAUAUUGAUCGAAUGUGCAGCGACGACACUAGUGUAAACUGUAACGUUCUGCCUAUCUAUAGUGGUGUUGCAGGUUUCGUGCGAAUAGCAGGCGGCUGAAGAGGGCAAUGGUUGGAGAAAUGGGAGAAGAGGAGGUUCCCGUGGAUGAAGACGCUGUUGAACAUGAUAGUGUGUAAUGUUUCUUCUGUUUUAGAAGAUUGCAAAGUAAUAGCUAAAAAACAGAAGCUUAUGAUCAUUUGAUAUGCUUUGACCCACUCAGGAAUUCAACCACCAGUUCUAGUAAUAUAAGCUUCAUUGGAGUUUGAGCAGUUACUCGUCUUCUUCCUCUGUGAAUUCUCCAGUAUCCACGGCUUUGCUUCUCAGAACUAACUCCUAAAGAUAAAGAACACACCAAGAAGACAAAACAGUUUAAAAAGCUCUCCUCUUUCCUUCUCCAUUGUUAAAGAAAGCACAGAAGUUGAGCUGAAUUUAAGAACUGUGCAGGGGAUCACAGCAGAUUCGGAUUUUUUGAUGCUUAAGCUCUGAAACAUUAUGGAAGCAGCAGAGAUGGUAAAGUGAUUUAUGCCUUCAAUCAGAGUUUAGAAGAUCAAGGCUUUCUUCUCUUUUCCAUGUUCUGUACAUGUAUCUUCAUCAAAAUUGCACUUAACCUCCCUUUAAAAAGAAAAAAAAGGGAAUUAAUUUGGUUGAGACAUAUUGUUGUAAUUUCAUUGUGAUAAUGUGUUAAUUGUUCUCUGCUUAAUUCAAAGCAAGAGAUCCCUGCAAGUCUUUAGUCUUCCAUGAAACUUUUUUCCGAAGAA